rnacentral:rRNA from 1 species
CUAUAACGGUCCUAAGGUAGCGAAAUUCCUUGUCGGGUAAGUUCCGACCUGCACGAAUGGCGUAAUGAUGGCCAGGCUGUCUCCACCCGAGACUCAGUGAAAUUGAACUCGCUGUGAAGAUGCAGUGUACCCGCGGCAAGACGGAAAGACCCCGUGAACCUUUACUAUAGCUUGACACUGAACAUUGAGCCUUGAUGUGUAGGAUAGGUGGGAGGCUUAGAAGUGUGGACGCCAGUCUGCAUGGAGCCGACCUUGAAAUACCACCCUUUAAUGUUUGAUGUUCUAACGUUGACCCGUAAUCCGGGUUGCGGACAGUGUCUGGUGGGUAGUUUGACUGGGGCGGUCUCCUCCUAAAGAGUAACGGAGGAGCACGAAGGUUGGCUAAUCCUGGUCGGACAUCAGGAGGUUAGUGCAAUGGCAUAAGCCAGCUUGACUGCGAGCGUGACGGCGCGAGCAGGUGCGAAAGCAGGUCAUAGUGAUCCGGUGGUUCUGAAUGGAAGGGCCAUCGCUCAACGGAUAAAAGGUACUCCGGGGAUAACAGGCUGAUACCGCCCAAGAGUUCAUAUCGACGGCGGUGUUUGGCACCUCGAUGUCGGCUCAUCACAUCCUGGGGCUGAAGUAGGUCCCAAGGGUAUGGCUGUUCGCCAUUUAAAGUGGUACGCGAGCUGGGUUUAGAACGUCGUGAGACAGUUCGGUCCCUAUCUGCCGUGGGCGCUGGAGAACUGAGGGGGGCUGCUCCUAGUACGAGAGGACCGGAGUGGACGCAUCACUGGUGUUCGGGUUGUCAUGCCAAUGGCACUGCCCGGUAGCUAAAUGCGGAAGAGAUAAGUGCUGAAAGCAUCUAAGCACGAAACUUGCCCCGAGAUGAGUUCUCCCUGACCCUUUAAGGGUCCUGAAGGAACGUUGAAGACGACGACGUUGAUAGGCCGGGUGUGUAAGCGCAGCGAUGCGUUGAGCUAACCGGUACUAAUGAACCGUGAGGCUUAACCUU